CAACUCUCAGAGUUUCACCUGGAGAGUUUCCAGUCCUCUACCAGUCUCGACUACGGGAGGGAGAGUCAAGCAGAGGCCUACCCAUUCCAUUCCUAGCUUGCCCAGUGGCUAGCGAGUCGAAGGAAAUCUGCUACAAGU